AACGAACGCUGGCGGCAGGCCUAACACAUGCAAGUCGAGCGAGAACUUCGGUUCUAGCGGCGGACGGGUUAGUAACGCGUGGGAAUAUGCCCUUCACUACGGAAUAGUCCCGGGAAACUGGGUUUAAUACCGUAUACGCCCUUCGGGGGAAAGAUUUAUCGGUGAAGGAUUAGCCCGCGUUGGAUUAGGUAGUUGGUGGGGUAAUGGCCUACCAAGCCGACGAUCCAUAGCUGGUUUGAGAGGAUGAUCAGCAACACUGGGACUGAGACACGGCCCAGACUCCUACGGGAGGCAGCAGCAAGGAAUCUUCCGCAAUGGGCGAAAGCCUGACGGAGCAACGCCGCGUGUGGGAUGACGCCUUUCGGGGUGUAAACCACUUUUCUCAGGGAAGAAGCACUGACGGUACCUGAGGAAGAAGGACCGGCUAACUACGUGCCAGCCGCCGCAGUAACAC
rnacentral:rRNA from 1 species